UACAGAGGGUGCGAGCGUUAAUCGGAGUUACUGGGCGGAAAGGGCGCGUAGGCGGUUAUUUAAGUUAGAUGUGAAAUCCCUGGGCUUAACCUAGGAACUGCAUCUGAUACUGGAUAGCUAGAGUAUUGUAGAGGGUAGUGGAAUUUCCGGUGUAGCGGUGAAAUGCGUAGAGAUCGGAAGGAACACCAGUGGCGAAGGCGGCUACCUGGACAAAUACUGACGCUGAGGCGCGAAAGCGUGGGGAGCAAACAGG
rnacentral:rRNA from 1 species